AGGGGGAUGCAGGAUCCUGGGCUGUGUCCCUGGCCCCCUGGGCUCCAAGGCCUGCACCAAUCGAAUCAUGCUCUGGGGCCAUGCAGCCCCCU
rnacentral:pre_miRNA from 1 species